AUACGGAGGGUGCAAGCGUUGUUCGGAAUCACUGGGCGUAAAGGGCGCGCAGGCGGUUUGGUAAGUCAGAUGUGAAAGCCCAUGGCUCAACCAUGGAAGUGCAUUUGAAACUGUCAGACUUGAGUACUAGAGGGGAAAGUGGAAUUCCCGGUGUAGAGGUGAAAUUCGUAGAUAUCGGGAGGAAUACCGGUGGCGAAGGCGACUUUCUGGCUAGAUACUGACGCUGAGGCGCGAAAGCGUGGGGAGCAAACAGAAUUAGAAACCCCAGUAGUCC
rnacentral:rRNA from 1 species